rnacentral:rRNA from 1 species
CCUACGGGAGGCUGCAGUGGGGAAUAUUGGACAAUGGGGGGAACCCUGAUCCAGCCAUGCCGCGUGUGUGAAGAAGGCCCUCGGGUUGUAAAGCACUUUCAGUGAGGAAGAACGCCUGGUGGUUAAUACCCAUCAGGAAAGACAUCACUCACAGAAGAAGCACCGGCUAACUCCGUGCCAGCAGCCGCGGUAAUACGGAGGGUGCGAGCGUUAAUCGGAAUUACUGGGCGUAAAGCGCGCGUAGGUGGCUUGAUAAGCCGGUUGUGAAAGCCCCGGGCUCAACCUGGGAACGGCAUCCGGAACUGUCAAGCUAGAGUGCAGGAGAGGAAGGUAGAAUUCCCGGUGUAGCGGUGAAAUGCGUAGAGAUCGGGAGGAAUACCAGUGGCGAAGGGGGCCUUCUGGACUGACACUGACACUGAGGUGCGAAAGCGUGGGUAGCAAACAGGAUUAGAUACCCCGGUAGUC